UCCUAAAGACUAAGCCAUGCAUGUCUAUGAAUAAGAGGAAGAAAUUCUCUCUGAAUCUGCGAACGGCUCCGCAAACCAGUUGUAAACUAUAGCAAACAAGCUCAGGGUGAGGCUAGAAAUGGCUCUGCCCUGGGUGAUAUGGAUAACCCUGGUAAUUCUGAGGCUAAUACAAGAAAUUAAAGCACCCUGGCUGACUGGGCUUAGGCUUGGAAAGCUGGGUGGGAUGUGUGAUUGCAAGCUUGGAUGAGCUGGGAAAGGGCACACAUCUAGACCACUGUACAAAAGGACCAGCCUUUUUCCCCCUGCUCCCCUCUGGGGGGGUGGGUGGUUGGGUUGGCCCUAGUGGCUCUUGCUGUGUGCUUCUGACCUAUCAACUAGAUGGCAGCCUAUAGGACAUGCCAUGGUGACAACGGGUACAGAGGAUUAGGGUUCGAUCCUGGAGAGUGGGCCUGAGAGAUUGCUCAUACUUCUAAGGAAGGCAGCAGGCGCGCAAAGUUCCCAAUGGCCAUUGGCCGAGGGCGUUAGGGGACAUAUGAAUGCUCGCCCAUUGGGUGGGCAAUUCAAAUGGGUCUGUUCUAAACAGGCUCUCGAGUAACAAUUAGAGGACAAGUCUGGUGCCAGCACCCGCGGUAAUUCCAGCUCUAAUAGCAUACGUUAAAGUUGUUGCGGUUAAAACGCUCGUAGUCAGCCACAGAUCAUCAGAAGCCAGAUCAGGAAGCCUGGGUCUGCUGCCUUUCGGGGCGCGCUGGGUGACUAGUGAAGGUGGGCGGUGGUCAAAUGUGCCUUGGGCUGUAUCUUCGGAUUCACAGAGCCAGGUCUGCCUUUCGGGGUAGGCUUGGCUUGGCCUGGGGUACCAGUUACCAUGAUUAAACUGGGGUGAUCAAAGCAAGUCGCUUGAUCUUGUACAGCGCAGCAUGGCAUAGGCCAAGCUGAUCUGAUCCUUCAAGCAGGGUUAGGUUGGCAGAAGCAAAAGGGGCGUUCGAGGGUGACCGAAUUGCAAGGCUAGUGGUGAAAUACGUUGACCCUUGCAAGUCGACCCAAUGCGAAAGCAGUCAUCAAGGGCACACCCGUUGAUCAAGAGCGAAAGUUAAGGGUUCGAAGACGAUCAGAUACCGUCGUAGUCUUGACUAUAAAUGUUGCUAACCAGGGAUGGGAUAAUGUCCAUCUCGACUCUUCCUGGAUCUUGGGGAAACCAUUAAGUCUUUGAGUUCUGGGGGGAGUAUGGUCGCAAGGCUGAAACUUAAAGGAAUUGACGGAAGGGCACACAAAGAGUGGAACCUGCGGCUUAAUUUGACUCAACACGGGAAAACUCACCAGGUCCAGAUACACGGAUGAAGGACAAGCUGAAAGACUUUUCUCAAUGAUGUAAGUGGUGGUGCAUGGCCGUUCUUAGUUCGUGGAGUGGUUUGUCUGGUCUAUUCCGAUAACGAGCGAGACCUCGACGUUCUAAAUAGGGGUAUCAGCCCAGCUUUCCUGGCCUGCAAGGGCUGGGUUCGCUAGCAGCAACCUCAAACAAUGCUUCUUAGACGGAUCAGAGCCGAUAAGGUUCUUGAAAUGGGUUAAUAACAGGUCAGUCAUGCCCUUAGAUGUUCUGGGCCGCACGCGCGUUACAAUGGCAUGAUUAAAGAGUGCUCAAAAGGGCGUUUCCGCAGCCUAUUGGUUGUGGUAACCCACAGUCCCUGCUAUGACUGGGAUAGACUUUUGCAAUUAUUGGUCUCGAACGAGGAAUUUUUAGUAGUCGCACGUCAUUAUCGUGCGACGAAUGAGUCCCUGCCCUUUGUACACACCGCCCGUCGCUGCUACCGAUUGGGUUUUGCGGUUACGAGUUCGGAGGCUGUGGCUACCGUCUGCCUUCGGGUAGGUGG
rnacentral:rRNA from 1 species